rnacentral:rRNA from 1 species
AUUGAACGCUGGCGGCAGGCCUAACACAUGCAAGUCGAACGGUAACAGGAAGCAGCUUGCUGCUUUGCUGACGAGUGGCGGACGGGUGAGUAAUGUCUGGGAAACUGCCUGAUGGAGGGGGAUAACUACUGGAAACGGUAGCUAAUACCGCAUAACGUCGCAAGACCAAAGAGGGGGACCUUCGGGCCUCUUGCCAUCGGAUGUGCCCAGAUGGGAUUAGCUGGUAGGUGGGGUAACGGCUCACCUAGGCGACGAUCCCUAGCUGGUCUGAGAGGAUGACCAGCCACACUGGAACUGAGACACGGUCCAGACUCCUACGGGAGGCAGCAGUGGGGAAUAUUGCACAAUGGGCGCAAGCCUGAUGCAGCCAUGCCGCGUGUAUGAAGAAGGCCUUCGGGUUGUAAAGUACUUUCAGCGGGGAGGAAGGGAGUAAAGUUAAUACCUUGGCUCAUUGACGUUACCCGCAGAAGAAGCACCGGCUAACUCCGUG